GAGUUUGAUCCUGGCUCAGAUUGAACGCUGGCGGCGUGCCUAACACAUGCAAGUCGAGCGGUAACAGGUGUAGCAAUACAUGCUGACGAGCGGCGGACGGGUGAGUAACGCUUGGGAAUCUGCCUGUUAGUGGGGGACAACCCGGGGAAACUCGGGCUAAUACCGCAUACGCACUACGGUGGAAAGCCGGGGACCGCAAGGCCUGGCGCUAACAGAUGAGCCCAAGUCGGAUUAGCUAGUUGGUAGGGUAACGGCCUACCAAGGCGACGAUCCGUAACUGGUCUGAGAGGACGACCAGUCACACCGGAACUGAGACACGGUCCGGACUCCUACGGGAGGCAGCAGCGGGGAAUAUUGGACAAUGGGCGAAAGCCUGAUCCAGCGACGCCGCGUGGGUGANNAAGGCCUGCGGGUUGUANAGCACUUUCAGCAGGGNNGAAAAGCUUGCGGUUAAUACCCGCGAGUCUUGACGUAACCUGAAGAAGAA
rnacentral:rRNA from 1 species